rnacentral:rRNA from 1 species
GAUGAAAAGCACUUUGGAAAGAGAAUGAAACAGUAUGUGAAAUUGCUGGAAGGGAAACGAUUGAAGUUAGACUUGCGUUUGUGACACUCAGCCUUUUCUUCGGACUGGUGUAUUUGUCACUUGUGCAGGCCAGCAUCAGUUUACUUUGUUGUAAAAGGGUAGAGAGAAUGUGGCAUCCUCGGAUGUGUUAUAGCUCUUUACUGGAUGCAACGUCGUAGACUGAGGACUGCAGCCUUUUUGGCUUAGGAUGCUGGUAGAAUAGCUUUAACCGACCCGUCUUGUAACACGGACCA